rnacentral:tRNA from 1 species
CGGGAUGUGGCGCAGUUUGGUAGCGCACAUGACUGGGGGUCAUGUGGUCGCCGGUUCGAAUCCGGCCAUCCCGACCA